rnacentral:piRNA from 1 species
UGAUAGGUGUGGCAUAGGUCACGGAUCGC